GAUGAACGCUGGCGGCGUGCCUAAUACAUGCAAGUCGAACGCUGGAGAUCUAGCUUGCUAGAUCGAAGGAGUGGCGAACGGGUGAGUAAUACAUAAGCAACCUACCCACGAAGACUGGGAUAAUCUCUGGAAACGGGGACUAAUACCGGAUAGGUAAUCGGAAGGCAUCUUCUGGUUAUUAAAGGUUAAAAACACUGGUGGAUGGGCUUAUGGCGGAUUAGUUGGUUGGUGAGGUAACGGCCCACCAAGACGAUGAUGCGUAGCCGGCCUGAGAGGGUGAACGGCCACAUUGGGACUGAGACACGGCCCAGACUCCUACGGGAGGCAGCAGUAGGGAAUUUUCGGCAAUGGGGGCAACCCUGACCGAGCAACGCCGCGUGAGUGAAGACGGCCUUCGGGUUGUAAAGCUCUGUUGUAAGGGAAGAACGGUAGAUAGAGAAUAUCUAAGUGACGGUACCUUACCAGAAAGCCACGGCUAACUACGUG
rnacentral:rRNA from 1 species